ACGGUUAACCUUGAACCAAGUUUGUAUAUGGUUCGAUUAUUCGUAUAGUUCCAAAAUUUUUACACAGCUCAAUCACGGUGGGGAUUGAAACCCUAAAGACAGUGGAGAAAUCAUGCAGUCUCGUAGUUCAUGCUUCUCCUCAACUGAGAUCAAAGAAACUCUUGAAAGAAACGAUGUCGUCUCAUCAAAGAUUGAAGCAUUGAAAUCACCGACUAAACCGAGGCUAUUCACACUUGUGCUAUUAAGUUUUCGGAGGUGGCUAUAGCACUGUUGUGCAUUUGUUGAUGGAUUUCUUGGGGGAUACUAAUGUCGCGUCUGCUACGGAUGUGGUUGUUUUCGUGCCAGAUAUUAUUGAGACUAACCUGAAGCUGCAUGUUUCUAUUAUCACUAGGCUUUUGGAUACUUUUUUUUUUAUCAAAUCCAUGCUGCAAGGGUUUGUUCUUGUGCUCUAUGGAUCAUUGGCGACCUUCCCUUUUACACCAUCUAUGAGGAUGGAGGAGGUCAGGAGACAUGGAAAGCCGUGCAGCAGGUGAACUCGACCACUGUGUCUUCUAGGAGGCUCGAGAUUUGCGCAGAUGGGACCUAUGCUACCCAAAGUGCUGCUCUUGAGACUGCCGUGUCACCUCCUACCCUUGUACAAUGCUUGUUGUCUUCUAUUGGGAACAUGAGAUCAUUGAGGCUUUCGGGUGAUUUAUUCCUCGAGGAAGUUGUUGGAUGCACCAUGACAAAGCUUAUCGUAAGGUUGGAAGAGGUCCAGAUCUCAAAAGUUGAAGUUAAUAAGGCAACUUCUGAUAGGAUUCAUUAUGAGAAAGUCCCAAAUAGAUAGGCGGAGUACUGAGCUGACAUGUUAGUCUGAGAGAGUGAGAGCAUAUACAUGGGAGAGGUAGUAUAUGAGGUGUGUGAGAGACUGAGAGGGUUAGUGGGGGAUUAUUCAGUAUCAUAUUGUAUUAGAUCCUUAGGGUUGGGCAAAGGGAGGAUUCUUUCUUCAUUUUAGUAGCUUUUCUCUGGGAUUAUAACGAUUCAAUCUCUGUAAUAGUUUCUUUUUAUCAUUAAUAAUAUUUUUCUCUUCUUUCUUGAAUUUGUGUUCCUAACAACUUCACAGUCCUUGUUGAUCAUGGUAUCAAUGUUGCAGCUUGGUCAGUCGUCAGUUCUUCCAUGUCCAAUUGAUAUUUGAUAAUGAUUCUCAUGACAGGAUAGUCCGUUGCAUUAGAUUGUUGUACAAUACUGGGGAUGAGAUAAGGAAGAUGUGGCUGGAAUUUUGUAGGCAGAGCUUUGUGAAAAUGCAUGCAGAUAAGCAACACUUUGAGACCGAGGAGAUUAAGACAAAGGCUCAAAUUUUACCAUUUCAAGAGAAGAAAGGGUAUGAGCCAACUUGAGCUGGAAGAUGAGGUUUAGGACGAUCUUAAAUGUGCUACUGGAGAGUUUACAAAGGAUGCAAAUGAUUCAAAUAAACUCAAUCACAUUCUUCAGGUCACUGGACUUGGUGAUCCUGUUUAUGCUUGAAACAUAUGCAACAGUGCAUCAUUACGACAUUGUCCUUGAUGCUGUCAUCAACGGAACCAAGGAAACUCUCCAGAACUUAUGUUUGGCAUUAGCAACUAUGGGUGAUCUCAGACUUGUUGAGCGUCCACAAAACUAUACUCUAGAUUCAGAAUCAAGUAAACAGAUUAAGGGCCAAUAUCAUAGUUUCUUCUACUGAAACUGGAGUUAUAUUUGGUAUCAUAUUUUAUGAGAUAUCUUCAUAUGUUCUUAGGAGAAUGGUUCUGGAAGUUCUCAUCGACAAAGGAACACCGGCACUAUCAACUGAGAUCAAAGAAACUCUCGAAGGAAACAACGUCUGAUCAAAGAUUGAAGCAUUCAACAAAUCAAUAAUGCUUCUCCUCAACGGCGAAACAAUUCGUCAACUAUUCAUCACCGUCAUUCGUUACGCUCUAACUUGCGAAGAUCACACACACCGUUCAAAAACUUCUCCUUGAAAUCACCGUCUACACCGAGAGGCUAUUCAUACUCGUGCUAUUAAGUUUCCGGAGGUGGCUAUAGCACUGUUGUGCAUUUGUUGAUGGAGUUCUUGGGGGAUACCAAUGUCGCGUCUGCUACGGAUGUGGUUGUUUUCGUGCCAGAUAUUAUUGAGACUAACCUGAAGCUGCAUGUUUCUAUUAUCAUUAGGCUUUUGGAUACUUUUUAUCAAAUCCAUGCUGCAAGGGUUUGUCCUUGUGCUCUAUGGAUAAUUGGUGACCUUCCCUUUUACACCAUCUAUGAGGAUGGAGGAGGUCAGGAGACAUGGAAAGCCGUGCAGCAGAUGAACUUGACCACUGUGUCUUCUAGGAGGCUUGAGAUUCUUGCAGUCGCAGAUGGGACCUAUGCUACCCAAAGUGCUGCUCUUGCGACUUGCUCAUCUGGCAUUUCUUCAAUUGUUCAAUCUGUGUAUACUUAUAAUUCUUCAGGGUAUGAGCCAACUUGAGCUGGAAGAUGAGGUUCAGGACGAUCUCAAACGUGCUACUGGAGAGUUUACAAAGGAUGCGGAUGAUUCAAAUAAACUCAAUCACAUUCUUCAGGUCAUUGGACUUCCUCUUCACCCUCGCCUUAACACACCCAUGAAAGUAUUUUGAAAAAUACUCACACACUCACACGCUUAUUGAAAAAAAAGAAGAAAACUCACUCACACAAGAAGGAACUCAAGAACCCUAACUCUUCAAUGUUGGCGUCAAUCCAUUCAUUCCUAUCCAUUCAAUCCCUAAAUCAUUUUCUACAAUCACUUCAUCGAGAAAUAGUUGACGUGACUAUACUCGUUUUCAGCUGCAGUGCAGAAGAUGAUAAUCAGUUAACGAAGGUUGAGGGAGAUGGAGGUUGUUUGCGGAGUGUGAAAUGGGGAAGUUAAUGGACAUCUAUCUGCAUAUCAACAGCCCGUGUCAUUACAAUUUCAGUGUUCAAUUGGAAUUUGGUGAUGUUUGCAAUUUGGUCGGUCUUGCAUAUGAGCUUCCUUUCCUUAUAUGUUCUUGCAACUGAAGCAACUUAUAAGUGUCAAGUAAGACCGUUUACUGACUACCAUAUAUAUAUAACGUCCAAGGUAACAUUUCAUAUCACCAUGUUCUUAUAAAAAAUAAAAAAAUCAUACCACCAUGUGAUUGUGCUUCUGUUUUUGUUUUGUGGUUCGAAGCACAAUUUCAUUUUGAUUUUGCAAUACCUGUUAUAUGCUUAAAUAAAACCCAAUUUCAUAUUAUUAGAAAAUAUAUUUUCCAACACAUAUGUAUUAUUGAUUGCUUCUUGUGAGAUUUGGGAGUCCAAAUUUGAAAUUUGUUUUGCACAUGAGCUUUUGCAUAGAGAAAUUGAGAAAGUUAGUGAAGAGGAUAGUGAGAAUGAAUCAUUGUUUUCAUUGAUUCAUUAAGUGGUACAAUCAACUAGUAUAUAUAUACAAUUGUUAGAAGAGUAUUAUGGAGGGAAAAGCAGUUAAAACAAACUUAACUAACUAUAACCAACUUGAGACUACUUCUAACUAACUAGAUAUUACAUAGUUGAUUUUGACUAAUGUGGAUUACUUGUUAUUCAAGUUACUGAAUCUAUUAUUUUGUAUGCCCAAUCGUAACUGAUAUUGAUACCUUCAGCCUUGAGGUAUAAAAACUGACCAUAACUCUCUUAGAUAUAUCCCAACAUGUAUUUCAAUUAAUUAGCAUCAAUCACAUUUCAAGUUUUCUUUUAUUCAUUGACCUUAUUUUACUUUGUGUAACAUAUGUAUGUUUGAACUUCUACUAUACUGGAUUCAUAUUUCACUUUUCUUAGUUGCUUUUGUUUUGCAUCCUUUGAAUGUUGGGUGGAUUAAUUUCUUCUUGGAAUUUUAACCCUUUAUUCUUCUUUCUCCUUUUUUCUCAAUCAAUUUGAUGACAAGUAUUUUCCUAAUACUGGUUUUAGUUGCGGGAACAAGAAAAUAACAAAUACUAUUAUGAUAAGACAGAUGAACGAGACCCCUCUUCAAGUGUCCAUUUGAAUUAGGAUGUUAUAACUCAGAUGAGGGUGUCCAUUUCAAUAAGAAGCUUCUAUUUUGAAGGUUGUUAAUUUUACUGUCUCAUUUGGUAUAUCAAUACCUUAUAUUUGUAAAUUUUCUCGAGGAAAUUUUCUUGAAUAGUCGGUCCAUUUAUAGCUUUUGAUGUUCAAUAUCCAACAAAAGGUUUGUGGUUGACUCUUUCAUUAUCUAACAAGAGCAGUGUAAUAUGUUUCCUGUUAUAGUUACCCGUUCAAAAAAUAUGAUCCACAGUUCAGCCCAAACAAAAGUUUAGAAAAAAAUUCAUCUCUUCUGAGUUCUAACUCCUCAUUCUCUUUAAUUAAAUCUUUUUUAUUUUAUUAUUAGAUUUUUUUUUCCAGAUUCAUGUUGUAGGCUUUCUACCAUCUAUCAAACGAUAUCCACUUGGAUGGAACUUUGAGUAAUAUUGAGACCUUCUAAGCCCACCUCUGCAAACUCUCAAAUGAGGCAGUUGAUUCUAUCAAGCUCUCAUGCUUACAAAGAUGCCAUUAAUUCCAACUAUGGCUUGGAAAUUGAGAAAAUGGGGAGGGGGGGGAUAGAUAUGACAAUUUCUAUGAAUAUUUCAGUUUCCAAGUUCAAGAAAUAUAUGCACAGUGAAGGUAUAACAAUAAAAGAAACAAUUCAAGUUAAUAAAAAGUUGAAACUUAACACAAUCUUAGAGUUAUAUCUUUCACGUCCAAUAAAAUUUUGUCUAAUAGGGUGUUUGUUGGUCCCUUUGAUUUCAUUAGUGUCUACAAUGAUGGAAAGUCAUCCUUUCAUUUAGUGAACAUAUAGUGAGAAUUAUGUUCUUUUCUUUCUUUUUUUCUAUAGAAAAACUGUGUGCUCAAUGCUCUUUUGUUAUGAAAUUCAUGCUCAGGUGCGUAUACACAUGCUAACACAAUAUAUAUAUAUAUAUGAACAACACUGAUGUUACCAAAAUACGUAAGAUUUUAUUCUUCCCCAUUCAAAAACCUAAUUAAAUUUUUACAAUCAGAUUCAACAAAUACUUGCGUGAAACAACACUGAUGUGCGAACUCCAUAGCCUUCAAAACUGCGUAAGCUUCAGCUGUCGCAGCAUCAUCGAAACCUUUGGUUGACCACGAAGCAGCUGCAAGGAUGAUUCCGUGUUGUUUCGAAGUGCUGCGCUGAGACCCCAAACACCGUUACAGGUUUAUCUGUCAAGAACUUGCCAAUGAAGCUGUUUUUGCAAGCUUCAAGGCCUUCUUGAGCAUCUGAAGUAUUGUAAGCAUAUACUAUGCAGUUGCUUAGUUUGUGGCAAGGAAAGACUCAAAACUAUGGUAGCAUGACUAACUAGAACUGUCUUAGUAAUUUGCUCUUUUUUUUUUCUUUUCAGAUGUUAGUUGUUGAAAUUUUUAAGAAAGCCUAAUCAAAAGCUUGGGUAUAGCAUAAGUAAAGGUUAUAAAGAUUUGCUAUGCCAUGAUAGAAGAUGGGUUGCUAUGGUGGCAUGAAACCUGUCUAAAUACUUACAAUUAAAGGUGUCAAUUUUUAUCUCUUUUUAUUCCAUAUAUUAUUUUAUCUAUCAUGGAUAGAGAAUACUUAGAUUGAUUCGAAUGCAUAAAUCAUUAAU